rnacentral:rRNA from 1 species
GGGCCCGCACAAGCGGUGGAGCAUGUGGUUUAAUUCGACGCAACGCGAAGAACCUUACCAGGGCUUGACAUCCUUAGAAUCCCGAGGAAACUCGGGAGUGCCCUUAGGGGAGCUAAGAGACAGGUGGUGCAUGGUUGUCGUCAGCUCGUGUCGUGAGAUGUUGGGUUAAGUCCCGCAACGAGCGCAACCCCUAUAUUCAGUUGCUAACAGGAAAGCUGAGCACUCUGGAAAGACUGCCGGUGACAAACCGGAGGAAGGUGGGGAUGACGUCAAAUCAUCAUGCCCCUUAUGUUCUGGGCUACACACGUGCUACAAUGGCCGGUACAAACGGAAGCGAAACCGCGAGGUGGAGCAAAUCUGAGAAAACCGGUCUCAGUUCGGAUUGCAGGCUGCAACUCGCCUGCAUGAAGUCGGAAUCGCUAGUAAUCGCAGGUCAGCAUACUGCGGUGAAUACGUUCCCGGGCCUU